AUUCUGGUUGAUCCUGCCAGUAGUCAUAUGCUUGACUCAAAGAUUAAGCCAUGCACGUGUCAGUACAAUCCCUAGCAUGGAAAAACUGCGGAUGGCUCAUUAGAUCAGUUAUGGUUCCUUAGAACGUACAUCCCAAGUGGAUAACCCUGGCAAUUCUAGAGCUAAUACAUGCACCGAAGCUCCGACCGCAAGGGACGAGCGCAGUUAUUGGACCGAACGCACCCCGGCGUCAAACCCGGGGCUGUUGAGGUGACUCUGGAUAACCAUGCGGAUCGCACGGCCUUUGCGCUGGCGACAAUUCUUUCGAAUGUCUGCCCUAUCAGAGUCGAUGGUAGUCGAGAAGGACUACCAUGCUGACAACGGGUAACGGGGAAUCAGGGUUUGAUUCCGGAGAGGGAGCCUGAGAAACGGCCACCACAUCCAAGGAAGGCAGCAGGCACGCAAAUUACCCACUCCUGACACAGGGAGGUAGUGACGAAUAAUAACAAUACGGGCGUCUUUCGAGGCCCCGUAAUUGGAAUGAGUGCAAUUUAAAUCCUUCAACGAGGAUCUAUUGGAGGGCAAGUCUGGUGCCAGCAGCCGCGGUAAUUCCAGCUCCAAUAGCGUAUAUUAAAGCUGUUGCAGUUAAAAACGCUCGUAGUUGGAUCCUAGUCUUCUGGGCGGGCGGUCCGCCUCGCUGGUGGACGUCUGCGUCGCCCAGGUCUGAGUGCG
rnacentral:ncRNA from 1 species